ACUUCACACCACACCUUCCUACACUCCUUCAUAACUGUUUUAAAUACAACUUGAGGGCUCAUGUGACUCGCAUGUGAUGGACUGAACGUCCAAGAUUUGUACUUUGCUUGAUGGAUAAUUAUAUAGGGUUGGAUUCAGAAUAAUGAGUUUUUCGGUUCUGAUUUUAAGAAAGGUAGCUUAUUGACUUCUAGAUAAAUUAUUUAUAUAGAUUAAGUGAAUUUUUUAUUACAAAUAUAAAAUUUUGAUCAAAAUUAUUGAGUUCGGUCAAAUCGUAAUUAAAACUCUAAUUGUGUCGCAGAAGACAAGAAGUUGUACUACUACUAAUGUCAUUGAUAAUGAUUAUAUAGAUUUAUGGAAGAAUGAGCCAAUUCGCACUUGUUGAGCUCUCUGCCUUCUGCAUUUAAAUUGUGAGAAGUUUCUCGGCCCAAAUUUUGUAUACAUCGACUAUGUGAAUUCGUCAUGUCCGAAGUUAUUAUUUUAACCGCAAGAAUGGGGAUGUCAAAGGCAUAGCUAAUAACCAAAGUAAAGUCAAAAUAAAAUAGUUCGAGUUAUUAUUAAUUACCUCAAAUAAAAUUAUUAUUAAAAAAAUAAAAUACGUUCAAGUUAAAUUAACAUGGAGAAUUUCAUCAAUUUUUUUCUAUGUUCAUGUAAUAAAGAAAUUUUAAACAAAUAAAUGUCAACAUAAGGACCAAAACAAUUUUGUAAAUGUGUCAA